GCCAGUGUGAUGUAGUGGUUUGAGCGCUUGACUGCAGCUCUGGAGACCAGGGUUCGAUUCCCUGCCCGACCA